rnacentral:lncRNA from 1 species
UGUACACAGAGCGUUGUGAUGUCUUUUUGGAAACAUAGAAGAAAAACCACAGCGGCAGCCAUGGUGGUGGUAAAUAUUUGAUGGCUUCCUUUGGUUUUCCUCAGGCACAUUCAAGCCCUCAAAAGGAUGGAGCAAGCGCUGACCGUGGCCACUGAGCAGCUGGCUUUCAAAACAUCCGUCUAUCAUGAGCUGCAGGCACAGUUAGAUGCUGUUCCUCAAAGAGAGGCCACAACGAAGCAAAGGAUGGAGCUUCAGAAGGACGUGGAUGCCCUCAAAGUCAGCCUCAAAACUCAGCUAUCAUUGACGGAGGUUGAGAGCCAGAAGAAGCAGCAGUUUGAGAUAAUUCAGGAGCUACAGAAGGAGUCAAUGCGUCUAAGGCAAGAACUCCACCAGCUCAGAUGUCUAACCCUCAUGAAAGCUGAGCAGAAGGGCCGGGAGCACAGAGAACUGCUCAGGGCGAAGCAACUGAGGGAGCAAAUCCAGCAGGAGCUCAGGGAAAAAGACCUCAUCAUUGAAGAGCAUGAGAAAGUCAACACAAAUCUACAGCAGAGGUAUGUGUGUGUGUGUGCUUAUUCAUGCUCCAUCGCAUGUGUUCGUCUUGCUAAAUGCAGGAUU